UAAGGAUCCUCAUACUAACGAUUGGCUGUUUGUGUUUCGUAUUGUUUUGCAGGAGUAUUGAGCUUGACUUGGUCUUGGCAACGUUACUAUGGAAUAUUCCACGGGUAUUUCGCACACAUUUGAAUAGAAAUGGACGUUGUGGAGAACGUGGGAGCAUGGCACAAAAGUCGGACAGUUAAAAUGGACGUUGUGGAGAACGUGGGAGCAUGGCACAAAAGUCGGACAGUUAGUUAGCUUAGUUAGCUUUCAUUUUUAAAGGGGUGACGAGCUAAAUUUAGAACACUUAGCCAUUAUCAGUUACACACACACUCUCGUGCAAUUGCAGUCUCAAAGCUCUCAGCAAACACUUAACAAAUCUCACACUUUUACACGAUUAACCAUAGUGAUCCUUGUACUUAGCUCGUC
rnacentral:lncRNA from 1 species